UACGUAGGGUGCGAGCGUUGUCCGGAAUUAUUGGGCGUAAAGAGCGUGUAGGCGGCCUAGUAGGUCAGCUGUGAAAACUCGAGGCUCAACCUCGAGCUGUCGGUUGAAACCACUAGGCUAGAGUCCGGAAGAGGAGAAUGGAAUUCCCGGUGUAGCGGUGAAAUGCGCAGAUAUCGGGAAGAACACCCGUGGCGAAGGCGGUUCUCUGGGACGGUACUGACGCUGAGACGCGAAAGCGUGGGGAGCGAACAGG
rnacentral:rRNA from 1 species